CAGCAGCCGCGGGAAUACGUAGGGUGCGAGCGUUAAUCGGAAUUACUGGGCGUAAAGCGUGCGCAGGCGGUUCGUUAAGACAGAUGUGAAAUCCCCGGGCUUAACCUGGGAACUGCAUUUGUGACUGGCGAGCUAGAGUAUGGCAGAGGGGGGUAGAAUUCCACGUGUAGCAGUGAAAUGCGUAGAGAUGUGGAGGAAUACCGAUGGCGAAGGCAGCCCCCUGGGCCAAUACUGACGCUCAUGCACGAAAGCGUGGGGAGCAAACAGGAUUAGAUACCCGAGUAGUCCCUGUCUCUUAUAA
rnacentral:rRNA from 1 species